CAGGAAGGGAGGCCCCAAGAGGCCGGGUUCGCUUGGUUGGCGGCUGCAUCCCAGCAUCGGUCAUCGUGCACACGUGCCAGAUGGAUGAAGAUCUGCCUGACCGGCCCCUACUUCCCGACCUGCCUCCCGCAACUGGCUUGUCUGGAGAGGAGGUGUAAGGAGAAUGAAGCUGGAACACCUGAAUUCUACCAUCCAGGAGUCUGAAGACAAAUGAAGUAGGAAAGGUCCUCACCUGUAAUGGGGAGGACAAGGACGCUCCUGGCCACAGGCUGGCACAUCCCGCAGUCAGCGGCGGUGACCCAGACGGAGACCGGGAAGUCCCCGGGCACGUUCCCCACGACGCGGAUGGUGGAGCUGAAAGCCUCAUCUGUCUUCCCCGUGAGCAGCAACGGGGUGUGAAUCCAGCGGAAGCGGUAAAGGCGGGUGCUGGCGGGCAGGACCAGGCUGCCGUUGUCAUCGGCCACCAGGCUGGCCGUGAUGGUCACCUCUGCCCCCGUGGUGGCAGGGCCAUCGGGGGUGAGGUGAAGUUCAUACACGCCUAGGAACCCAGAAACGAAGACCGCGUUUCACGAAGGGGCGUGGCCAGGAAACCCACCGCCACCCUCUGGGCCGGCUUCUGUGAGUCUCUUUUACAGGUGGAGAAAUUGAGGCCCAGGCAGGUCAAGUGACCCGCCCAAGGGUCAUACGAUUAGUUCAUUGCCCAGCUGGGAUUCAAACCCAGGCCCAACUGACUCCAAAUCCCACACCCUUUCCCGUGUCUCCAGUUUGUUUUAUUUUUCAUGCCAGCCAAGCAGGGGCUUACAGAGCAUGUGUAUGCUGACCUGGCCCGGCUUCUUAGCCGUUAAAAUGAUGGCCAGUGCAUGUCACAGGAGGAGCCACCGCAGCUGAUGCCAAGAAAUGCCCCCCAUCGCCCACUCUUUUGGACUAACCUUUACAUGUGAAACAAAAUUCCAGCUGGAAACACAAAGCUGAGUCUGGACCCUGAUAAG